UACGUAGGGUCCGAGCGUUGUCCGGAGUUACUGGGCGUAAAGCGCGCGCAGGCGGCGGUAUAAGCAUGGCGUGAAAGCCCCAGGCUCAACCUGGGAGGGUCGUCGUGGACUGUACCGCUUGAGGGCGAUAGGGGCUGGUGGAAUGCCUGGUGUAGUGGUGAAAUGCGUAGAGAUCAGGCGGAACACCAGUGGCGAAGGCGGCCAACUGGUCCGGUACUGACGCUGAGGUGCGAAAGCGUGGGGAGCAAACAGG
rnacentral:rRNA from 1 species